UCCUCCUGACCUGUCAAAAUCAUCCUGAUUGCUGACCAUCCACCUGUUACCAGCUCUGCAGGGCUGUUAAUUCUUUGCAGUGCAAUAGAAAGGUAGAUGCUGGAGCUGCUGAUGAGCCUGAUUUCUGUUAUGGGAAGUGGAUAAUGAUAACCUGGUACCAACACUCUCUCCCACAAUAUGUCCAUAAUGCAAAACAUGAUAGGAAGGUAAGUCCUUUCUCCUACUUUGCUCAUACAGUUUAGUGUCUCCUCCCACUCUUUUAUCCUUAUGUUGAGCUCUGGCCUCUCUUCAGGUCUGGAUUGAAGCCCAAAGGUCAAUUGGAAGUAAGGUUGACUGGAUUUCCAGAUAACAGCCCAAAGAUUGAUUGGACGUCCAAAUCAAAGCCUGAAGGUUAAUUAGAAGUUCAGAUCGAAGCCCAAAGGUUGAUUGGAUGUCCAGAUCGAAGCCUGAAGUCGACGCCCAACAUACCUGGCCUCAAAUCUGCAAACCUCUGCAAGUCCACUCGACUAAUAUUUCCUAGUGGGGCAUGGCCCUCAAGCUGAUGAAGACCAGUUGUUUGAAUGGCUGUGGAUUGAUAACACUGAGAAUGUGGUGGACUGUCUACAAUGAAUAAAACUCUUCCCGGGCUUCCAGCCGGGCACCGGUAUCGAUUAUAACUGACAUUUUGAUGACACACUCAGCCAUCUUCAUCGGUGAUGAUUGCCUACUGUUCACCAUUCCCCAUGAUCUUUUUGAAUGUAUCAUUGGCUGUGAUGCUUAGUGUGGAUCGCAAUGUCCAUUUCCUUCCAGAACCUUGCCUGGGACAUCACAAGAGUCAGUCAUGCACUUAAGG